UGGGGAAUUUUGGACAAUGGGGGCAACCCUGAUCCAGCCAUCCCGCGUGUGCGAUGAAGGCCUUCGGGUUGUAAAGCACUUUUGGCAGGGAAGAAACAGCCUGGGCUAAUAUCCCGGGCGACUGACGGUACCUGCAGAAUAAGCACCGGCUAACUACGUGCCAGCAGCCGCGGUAAUACGUAGGGUGCAAGCGUUAAUCGGAAUUACUGGGCGUAAAGCGUGCGCAGGCGGUUCGGAAAGAAAGGUGUGAAAUCCCAGGGCUUAACCUUGGAACUGCACUUUUAACUACCGGGCUAGAGUACGUCAGAGGGGGGUAGAAUUCCACGUGUAGCAGUGAAAUGCGUAGAGAUGUGGAGGAAUACCGAUGGCGAAGGCAGCUCCCUGGGAUGAUACUGACGCUCAUGCACGAAAGCGUGGGGAGCAAACA
rnacentral:rRNA from 1 species